GCUUCGAUGGCGCAGUUGGCAGCGCGUGGGUCUCAUAAUCCCGAGGUCGUGAGUUCGAGCCUCACUCGGAGCA
rnacentral:tRNA from 1 species